UGGAAGCCUUUUAAGAGCCAAACCCUCAC
rnacentral:piRNA from 1 species